GAUGAACGCUGGCGGCGUGCUUAACACAUGCAAGUCGAACGGAGUUUACUGUGAUGAUUUCUUCGGAAUGAUAAUGGUAAACUUAGUGGCGGACGGGUGAGUAACGCGUGGGUAACCUGCCUCACACUGGGGGACAACAGUUGGAAACGACUGCUAAUACCGCAUAAGCGCACAGCUUCGCAUGAAGCAGUGUGAAAAACUCCGGUGGUGUGAGAUGGACCCGCGUCUGAUUAGCUAGUUGGCGGAGUAACGGCUUACCAAGGCGACGAUACAUAGCCGACCUGAGAGGGUGAUCGGCCACACUGGGACUGAGACACGGCCCAGACUCCUACGGGAGGCAGCAGUGGGGAAUAUUGGGGCAAUGGACGCAAGUCUGACCCAGCAACGCCGCGUGAAGGAAGAAGGCUUUCGGGUUGUAAACUUCUUUUAAGGGGGAACAGUAGAAGAGGGUACCCCUUGAAUAAGCCACGGCUAACUACGUG
rnacentral:rRNA from 1 species